CUCGUGUCACGUGACUUCGUUCAGCGUUCAGAAUGGAGAAAGGAAACCGCUGAUUUUCUAUUUUCAAUUGUAAACGGGAAAGGAGAAUGGAAAACGGAAACUGCUGUUUUUCAAUGUUCAAUUGUAAAAGGAGAAAAGGACACGGGACUAUCGAAAAACGGGCCAAUUUGGAUUUGUUUUAUGGUUUUUUGAUUAAAACGGUUUUCUUGUUUUUUGUUUGAAAAAGAGAGGAAGAAAAACGGUUAUUUAAUUUUGGUUUACAGAUGAAUUUGGGAUUAUCCAAUGAUACCCAGACCGUUACAGCAAGCUGAAGACCCAGGCCCCUGAGCUGAAGUGCAUCAAGGUAGAUGAGGCCCUCGAGCUGGUCGGGAUAGACUUGAUUGAUGGGGAGCUCCUAAUUGCCUUCUUUCAGACCAGGGUUGAGAAUUUGUGGCUGAGAUCAACACUGAGGUCUGUAGAUCUCUCAACAUUAGUAGAUCAGUCACCGGUGCCUUCCACCACCAGACAAACGGGUUGGAUGAGAGAACCAACCAGACCCUGAAGAUGUGGUUCAGCAAGCUGGUCAACGAGCAUCAGACAGACUGGGAUAGCUUCCUAGAGGAUGUGGCGUACUCCGUCCGCGCCAGGAAGCAGGUCACCACGAAGUAUUCCCCUUUCUUUCUAAUGUUUGGUCGCCACCCAAGGCCCACCCAUGAGAUGGGCUCAGGGGAUGAACCAGACGAGGGGUUGCCCACAGCUCCCGAGGUCAACCUUGAUGAGAUGGUGGCCCGACGACAGGAAGUCAAGGCUGUGGUGAGGCAGGAUGCAAAGAUGAACUCUGAGAAAGCUCAGGAGAAGCAAAAGGAGACAUACAAAUGACACAAGGCGAAAGGAGUGAAGACUUUCUCCUUUUCCAACGGAGACAUCAUCCUGCGUAGAGUUAUGAAAAAUGCUGUGCGUAAGGGUGGUAAAAUGGAGUCUCUUUGGACUGGCCCGUACAGGUAUAUAAAGGCUGGGUUAUUGCCCCCACUUGGUUAGCUGCUUCACAACUGGUGUUAUGCUACCAUUCCCUGCCUCAUCCAAGCCACGUAAAAACACUGCAAUUACUGUCACUGCCGUAUACCGUACAACAGCAAUCAAAUUAUGAUUGACGUCUGCAAAGGCUGGUUCCACCGUGACUCUCAGAAGGUCCCCUGAGUAGUAACCGAAUCGACAAAGUUCCUACGUUGGUUUUGUGAAGAGGAUAGUGGCUAAAAAAAACAUGUUUUUUAGAACGUAUUCUAUGCUGUUCUUUUAUUGUUACAUGCAUUGUGUUUGGAUUGCAAAAAAAUACAUGUUUUAUAAUAUAUUCUAUGCAGUUUUUAAAAAUUAUUAUUGCAUGUAUUGUGUUUGUACAAAAGAAAUAUGUUUUAUAAUGUAUUCUAUGCAGUUUUUUAAAAUUAUUACAUGUAUUGCGUUUGUAUUAAAAAAAAAAAUUAUAAUUUAUUCAAUGCAGUUUUUUUUUAAUUUUUACAUGUAUUCUGUUUGGAUAAAAUAAAGCACAUGUGGGGAAAAAACA
rnacentral:lncRNA from 1 species